GUAGUAUUCACUUAUGGAGCUUGAUGACAACGGCUUCCUAAACCGUCGAUCUGGGUUCGAGUCCCGGCAGGAGUACCA
rnacentral:tRNA from 1 species